rnacentral:tRNA from 1 species
UGGACUAUAGCCAAGUGGUAAGGCAAGAGACUUUGACUCUCUCAUUCCGCUGGUUCGAGUCCAGCUAGUCCAACCA